CCGCUCAGUGUGAGCAGGCCGACUCGCCGGGAACAGCCAGAGCGUUCCGGCCUCUUGGCACCCGCCGGACAUUCUUGAUUCGAAAUUGCUCGCGUGCAAAGAGUCAAAAUAAAUUGUGUACAAGGCGCACUGGGCUAAAAGUAGCUCCCAGGGUAAAUGGAUGGUCAGCCGGUCGCACUGCCAGACAGUCAAAUGGCUAGACCGUAGAUGGCACAUCAGAAAUUGCGACGUAAACACCAACAAGAAGUGGCGUUGAAUAAAUAACGGAGAACAGUCGCAAGUUGCCGUGGUUGCAGCCGCACCACUAUAAAUUAA